rnacentral:rRNA from 1 species
UACGUAGGGGGCAAGCGUUGUCCGGAUUCAUUGGGCGUAAAGAGCGUGUAGGCGGCCAGGUAGGUCCGUUGUGAAAACUCGAGGCUCAACCUCGAGACGUCGAUGGAAACCAUCUAGCUAGAGUCCGGAAGAGGAGAGUGGAAUUCCUGGUGUAGCGGUGAAAUGCGCAGAUAUCAGGAAGAACACCCGUGGCGAAGGCGGCUCUCUGGUACGUGACUGACGCUGAGACGCGAAAGCGUGGGGAGCGAACAGG